AGUGAAUAAUCCAGGUUUUAUCUUUAAUAUUUCCAGAGAUACUGUGGUUCAAAUAUAGCCUUUAAUUAUAAUGUGCAAAAAAAAAAAAAAGAAAUUGAAAGUGGGUCUGCCGUCAAUUUCUUUAAAAAAAAAUAAAAAAAAAAUCUCUACAAGUAUUUGGUAUACUCAACUAAAAUUUCAAAUAUCUUUGUAAAUAUCCAUAUUUCAUGCAAUAGAAAUUCCUCUAUCUGAAACAAUUCUUCUGUGUUUAGAUCAAAUCUUUAUUUAACAAAUGUACAACAGAACACAUGAUACAUGUAUCAGCUACCCAAACACAACGCUACACAAUCCACCUCCGGUACAAAACUCCAUUUUUGUACUCCCAUCUAACACGCAUUACAAACACGUUUCUUACUCCUUUUACAAAGCACACACUGCCUACGUCCUAAGUGACGAGUCGGGAUGAAUCGGUACUAUUUCAGCAACAACAAACUGCAUGUUGAAGCCCAUGACCUGGACUUUACAUCACUGCUGUUUUACAAAGCACAAAGCAAAAGCAAAGUUUCCUGCUCAGUUUGUUUCACAAGAACAUAAGAAGAGCUGGAACUUUCACUUGAGGUGCAGAUAAUUCAUCAAAGCCACAUUAUCAUUACAUGAUGCAGCUGCUCUGGGCAAGAACUGGUCAGCUGUUUUUAUAGUUCAACCCUUUGGUGCUUUCAGGGACACGCUGACAUCUGACAUACAAGUCUGUUGCUGUCCCACACACUGUUUACUGUAACUACAGGAAAUAAAUUAUUUACCGUGAUGGACUUUUGUAGCAAGUUUCGUGUUUGUAUGAUUUGACGUUGGACUCAAUUAUUUAAUCACAGCUUUGUGCUUUGGAAAAAUACUGGUAGAAAUGUAAAGUAUUUGCAGUUUAAUGGGCUAAAACAUACACUGGUAUGUACUGGCCAACAGAUAUGAAAAUUCAAUCCAUUACUAAACAGAGAGGACAAACCACCAGUUCAGUGACACCAUCCGCUUUUCUUAAUUUAGACACUUCUUUUACUGUAUUAAUGAAAAAGGCAGAAAAUCAAGUUCUAAACAUUGAUGAGGCAUUGUACGUGAAUCUUGCUAUAACGUUUCAGAAGUGAUCAAACUGAUAGAUUUCUCUGUUCUGUGUAGUGUCAGCCCGACAUGCAGUACUAGUAAGACUUUGUGGAACUGUACAUUAUGAUUUCUAACGUGGCCGUCUUUGUUGUUGAUGUCUAUAGUGUCUUUUCAGGCCAUAAUGGCGGGGCACAAUACGGUGCAGGACACACUCAAUAGACAGAUCAGUCAUUUAAUGGACUUGUAUCCAUGAUUCAACAUGAUCAAACCUGCCAAGUGAGACUCAAACUGUCCUUGAUCAUUUGAUACCAAACAAUCUUUUGCUGGUGAAAAUGUUCUCCUCUUUCCAGAGUUCUUGUUCCAUCUCCACAGGGGGGAAAUGAUAACCUACUGCCCUCGCUUGUGAAAUGAUACUUGGGGAAAGUGUUGCGUUGGCUUAUGAGUCCUGCAGUGAAACCCCACGAUGCUGCACAUAAUGAACAGGAGAAGAAGAAACUGUGCAGCUCUAUCAGACACACACAUCCACACACACACCCUCAUCUAUGCCAAAGGACAGAUGAAUGUAAACACACACAAACCAGACAUACAGAGGCUGCACAGUCCUCUCCAGAAAACAGCCACAGGGGCCAGUAAGUAAUCAGCUCCAACUGCUGACAUCCCAAAAGUGGCUCCAAGAGUCUGAAACCUCUCAGAAAGUCUAUUUCUUCAUUUUGAGGUCAGCCUCCAUGGCACUACGGCGGCCUCUGGUGCCUCCGUCCUGCGGCAGAGAGACAG
ensembl:lncRNA